ACCGGGGGAACUGAAACAUCUAAGUACCCCGAGGAAAAGAAAUCAACCGAGAUUCCCCCAGUAGCGGCGAGCGAACGGGGAGGAGCCCAGAGCCUGAAUCAGUGUGUGUGUUAGUGGAAGCGUCUGGAAAGGCGCGCGAUACAGGGUGACAGCCCCGUACACAAAAAUACACAUAUUGUGAGCUCGACGAGUAGGGCGGGACACGUGGUAUCCUGUCUGAAUAUGGGGGGACCAUCCUCCAAGGCUAAAUACUCCUGACUGACCGAUAGUGAACCAGUACCGUGAGGGAAAGGCGAAAAGAACCCCGGCGAGGGGAGUGAAAAAGAACCUGAAACCGUGUACGUACAAGCAGUGGGAGCACGCUUAGGCGUGUGACUGCGUACCUUUUGUAUAAUGGGUCAGCGACUUAUAUUCUGUAGCAAGGUUAACCGAAUAGGGGAGCCGAAGGGAAACCGAGUCUUAACUGGGCGUUAAGUUGCAGGGUAUAGACCCGAAACCCGGUGAUCUAGCCAUGGGCAGGUUGAAGGUUGGGUAACACUAACUGGAGGACCGAACCGACUAAUGUUGAAAAAUUAGCGGAUGACUUGUGGCUGGGGGUGAAAGGCCAAUCAAACCGGGAGAUAGCUGGUUCUCCCCGAAAGCUAUUUAGGUAGCGCCUCGUGAAUUCAUCUCCGGGGGUAGAGCACUGUUUCGGCA
rnacentral:rRNA from 1 species